rnacentral:rRNA from 1 species
CAGUAGCCACGGGAAUACGUAGGGUCCGAGCGUUGUCCGGAAUUAUUGGGCGUAAAGCGUGCGUAGGCGGUUUGUUAAGUCUGUUGUGAAAUCCCCGGGCUCAACCUGGGAAUGGCAAUGGAUACUGGCAAGCUAGAGUGUGUCAGAGGAUGGUGGAAUUCCCGGUGUAGCGGUGGAAUGCGUAGAGAUCGGGAGGAACAUCAGUGGCGAAGGCGGCCAUCUGGGACAACACUGACGCUGAGGAGCGAAAGCGUGGGGAGCGAACAGGAUUAGAUACCCCAGUAGUCCCUGUCUCUUAUAC